CCCCUCGAUCUCAUGUAAGGCCUGACUACACAUUCAACACACUGGCCCACACCUCUCUCGCACAGACUAGUUUGCACACGCAUGUGUAGACACACACACACAAACACACUCCUGCAAUGUCCGCUCACACACAGCUUGUCCCUGCAAGCUCUCUAAAGCCCAGCCAGGACAUCAACAACAGCAGAGAUGAUGUCAUAGAGCUGGGUGGAUGACCUCAUGGUUCCUGGAGUGCCAAGGAGCGAGGUGGGGGGCUGUGUAUGACCUGCCCUAGUCCUGCCCUUGGGAGAUUCACACCAAAGUGCUGGGGGGACAGGUCUGGACCCCAGCCCGAGGUCACAGAUGGGCCAGAUCCUGACAGCCCAUGAGGGCCCAGCCACUCCACUUACUCACUCCUUGGCUACACCCCUAAAGCUGGUGGCCCCCCUCCCAGACCUGGACUUCCACCUAGCGUGGACUCUGCCUUGCUAUCCCCCAGAUGAGACCCCCCCGGUCGACUGCCCCAGCUCUGGCUCUCCAGAACUAGGCUGGUGGAGGCCCCCGCCCUCCUGGUCCUGAAAGAGUCAGGCACCUGCUUGAGGGAUGGAGGGGUACAGAGACAGCAGAGGCAACGGAGGCCACGGUGUGAAUGCUACCCCUUGCCGGUCCCAUCGCCAUGACGCCGCCCAGCACACCACCCUGGCCGCUGGCCACCCUGCUGCGCUCCUCCCGCCCCUGCUCCCCCACCCCUGCAGUGCCAGCCCGCUGGCUGCUCUGGCGCCGCUACCGCCUGUCAGAGAGCAUGAAGGGACUGCUGGUGGCGCUGCUCGGGGGCGGGGUGCCGGCUGGCUUUCU